AUUGAACGCUGGCGGCAUGCUUUACACAUGCAAGUCGAACGGCAGCGGGGGCUUCGGCCUGCCGGCGAGUGGCGAACGGGUGAGUAAUGCAUCGGAACGUGCCCAUGUCGUGGGGGAUAACGUAGCGAAAGCUACGCUAAUACCGCAUACGCCCUGAGGGGGAAAGCGGGGGAUUCUUCGGAACCUCGCGCGAUUGGAGCGGCCGAUGUCGGAUUAGCUAGUUGGUGAGAUAACAGCCCACCAAGGCUUCGAUGGGUAGCCGAGCUGAGAGGUUGAUCGGCCACACUGGAACUGAGAUACGGUCCAGACACCUACGGGUGGCAGCAGUAGGGAAUAUUGCGCAAUGGGCGAAAGCCUGACGCAGCGAUGCCGCGUGAGUGAAGAAGGCCCUAGGGUCGUAAAGCUCUUUUCUGAGGGAAGAAUGGUCCGGGUAGGAAAUGAUCUGGAUUUGACGGUACCUCAGGAAUAAGGAACGGCUAACUCCGUGCCAGCA
rnacentral:rRNA from 1 species